rnacentral:rRNA from 1 species
GUGAUAAGGGAACCCCAAGUGCUCAUGUUUUACAUGGGCUUUUGCCAAGUGUAAAAAGCUUGGAGAAUAAGUGGUGGGUAAGACUGGUGCCAGCAGCCGCGGUAACACCAGCGCCACGAGUGGGAACCAUGUUUAUUUGGCCUAAAGCGUCCGUAGCUGGCUUAGUAAGUCCUUUGUGAAAGUGUCAAGCUCAACUUGAUAAAAUACAGAGGAAACUACUAAACUAGAGACCGGGAGGAGUCAGGGGAAUUCUAUGGGGAGCGGUAAAAUGCUAUAAUCCUUAGAGGACCACCUGUGGCGAAGGCGCCUGACUAGAACGGAUCUGACAGUGAGGGACGAAAGCUAGGGGAGCGAUCCGGAUUAGAUACCCGAGUAGUCCUAGCCGUAAACGCUGUGAGCAAGGCGUUGCAUAUUCUAUAGGGAUGUGCAGUGUCGAAACGAA